CUAGUGGAGGUGGCGAACGGCUUUGCGGUUCGAACUUGAUGAUUUGAUGAGUUUAUCCAUUGGAAUGAUAGCGCCAUAACUUGCUGUUUAUGGGUGAAUUAUCGUCCUGUUUCUGAAUGAUUGACCACUUGACAGUAUAAUUUAACUAUUCGAAACCAUCUAUGGGUGGUUUUCCACCCACUAUCGGGCGGGAGUGAGACGGGACACAUCACCUAUCCCUGUCGGAGUGGUGAAAUCCACGUUCGGCUGCCGGGUGGUGAGCCCGAAGUCGGCGUUCGGUGUUCGAAAAUCAGGUUCGAAGUUCGAAUCGCCGGAGCCGACUGCACCAAUACCAAGAGAACUCGCAGGACUCGGCACAAGUCCCCCACUUUGUUGCAUUUAUAUUGUGAUGGGCUCAGCCCGGAUCAGUUAGUAUUCAUCGUAUCCUCAUUCGCUGUUUAGCGCUAGUCGAGUUUGCAUCGAUCUUACCGUCCUGUUGUUUGUUGUUUUUUCUCAUCCAACACUUGGGAGAAGAGAGAUAGAGUGUGUGCACAAAGCAUUACUUAGAAAGUCACAGGAAAAAGUAAAGUAAUUGUAGCUCAGUUGUAGUCGUUGAAGUAGCGGUCUAUCUCUCCGAGUCAUCACAGGCAACAAGCUUCAACCGUGACGGACGGAGACACCCCCGAAAAAAGGAUCGAACGCGCGAGUAGUCUAUCUCCAAACAGUGUUUAGAGUUCAUGAUUUUUGCAGUAGCGAAAGUGAUAAAAUUUCAGUGUUGUAGAUUUCGUCUAGAUCGGUAGAAAUCUCACAUAUUCGGACAACCGAACGUCAACGGCUACUUUGGAUCUACUUUCGAGUUCCCGUUCAAAGUAUUUAACGCAACGACAUUUCUUAACUCUUAGCUAAAAACAAACUCAAAACUUUCCGCGUGAACUUUCACACACGGCCCACGACGAGUGCUUUUAAUCUGUGACGACAGUAGCUCAGAAUUCGUACGACGGAGAAAUCACAGUUAGAUAGCCCAUGUUAGUUGUUUUUAGCAAAAUACCGAAAGUGUGAUUUUUUGUGUCAGGCAAUUACCCGAUCGAAGGUCGAAGUUUGUUAGAAGAGAAGAAAGUGUAGAAAGAAAGAAAAAAAAACACAGUGAGCUGGAAAAUAAUCAAACAGGAAACAGAAAAAUUCCCAUUCGACUUCCACACAGCCAGGCCAGAGUAGGCGGAACACGUGUAAUUAUCAACAACGAACGUCAGAAGCAAAUAAUUAAAAACGUACACACACCCGACCCACAGUUGGGUUGACUUCAGAUUGGAAGAAACAGCAGCAGCAGCAGAGGAAGCGCCCACCUGCGAAACCAGACCAGCAGCAGCCAAACGCGACAGAAAAUCAAUUCCAGUUUGUUUUUUUCCCUACCCGGCAGUGUCACACACAGAGAGUCACCGAGCAAUCAGAGUAGCGUCUGACGGGACCCGGGACCGGAAUCGAACGCAGGCUACGGAAAGGGAGGCAAAUUGAAAAUUUCCAACAGCGAAGCGCUCAAUUUGCAUCUGAUUUAGCGAUAUUUUUCGAUUUUCCACAUUUCCCUCGGUAAUAGAAGCAGCAGUAGCAGUUGUUGUUUUCCCCGCGUUAUUUCCGUUUUGUUAGAGAGUGAAAAUCGGUACUCCGACAGGAAAAAAAAACCGCUGCUGCCAGAUAAGGGGAAGGUGUGACUUCCGGCGUGUGGCGGAAUUUUUGGCUCAGACACUCACAGUUCCGUGGCGGCGGAAGGAAAAAUAAAAAUCGAAACUAUACCAAACAGACUCGAUAUCGGGACAAAGAGACGAAAAAGUAAGCAAACUUAAAGCAAUAAAAUAGCCAGCAAGGAAACAACUUUUCAACCAGAGUUCCCAGCCGAAGAAAGAAAAAAGGAACAGUGCGGGCGCGAGGCAGAGGCGAGGAAAAAUUGUUGCAGCCCGGAGUGAAUGCGAAAAACAGGAAGUGCUUAAACGGGAAGUGCUUUAUCCCGUCGUAGUCAGCGAGAGAGCUAAGGCAGGGCGAAAAUAAAAAAAAGGAGGGUAGAGAAAUCAGUAACGUGGCAGUGUGCGUGCGAAAAGGCGUAAAUCUUGUGGUAAUUUUUGCCAGUCCGGGUCGGGUUUAAAGAAGCUCCGUAAGAUUUGGGCAGGAGAAGUAAAAAAAAACCGGAGGCACAAGUGAAAAAGUGUGGUUGCAGAUUGCAACGGUAGAAGAGGAAGCAUCAGCAACAAGAAACAACAGCAGACGUAGCAGCAGUUUGCAGAAGUGUGUCCACCGCAGCGGUGUUGGGAAAUUUCGAGCGAAAGCCUGUGCUCGCCAACGGCCUCAAAAUUUUCCCAUCCACAAUUAAGGAAAUAACGGCGCCAGUCAACUACUUCCUGACCAAAAAAGUCAUUAUGGUGACGAGAACGAAGAAGAUAUUUGUGGGUGGUUUAUCAGCGCCUACCACACUGGAGGACGUGAAAAGUUACUUCGAACAGUUCGGACCGGUAAGUACCUCCUAGUCGUUAGUUGUUUUCCU